rnacentral:rRNA from 1 species
AACGAACGCUGGCGGCAGGCUUAACACAUGCAAGUCGAACGCCCCGCAAGGGGAGUGGCAGACGGGUGAGUAACGCGUGGGAACAUACCCUUUUCUACGGAAUAGCUCUGGGAAACUGGAAUUAAUACCGUAUACGCCCUACGGGGGAAAGAUUUAUCGGGGAAGGAUUGGCCCGCGUUGGAUUAGCUAGUUGGUGGGGUAAAGGCCUACCAAGGCGACGAUCCAUAGCUGGUCUGAGAGGAUGAUCAGCCGCAUUGGGACUGAGACACGGCCCAAACUCCUACGGGAGGCAGCAGUGGGGAAUAUUGGACAAUGGGCGCAAGCCUGAUCCAGCCAUGCCGCGUGAGUGAUGAAGGCCUUAGGGUUGUAAAGCUCUUUCACCGAUGAAGAUAAUGACGGUAGUCGGAGAAGAAGCCCCGGCUAACUUCGUG